AUGAACGCUGGCGGCGUGCCUAAUACAUGCAAGUCGCGCGAACGGACGAGAAGCUUGCUUCUCUGAUGUUAGCGGCGGACGGGUGAGUAACACGUGGAUAACCUACCUAUAAGACUGGGAUAACUUCGGGAAACCGGAGCUAAUACCGGAUAAUAUUUUGAACCGCAUGGUUCAAAAGUGAAAGACGGUCUUGCUGUCACUUAUAGAUGGAUCCGCGCUGCAUUAGCUAGUUGGUAAGGUAACGGCUUACCAAGGCAACGAUGCAUAGCCGACCUGAGAGGGUGAUCGGCCACACUGGAACUGAGACACGGUCCAGACUCCUACGGGAGGCAGCAGUAGGGAAUCUUCCGCAAUGGGCGAAAGCCUGACGGAGCAACGCCGCGUGAGUGAUGAAGGUCUUCGGAUCGUAAAACUCUGUUAUUAGGGAAGAACAUAUGUGUAAGUAACUGUGCACAUCCUGACGGUACCUAAUCAGAAAGCCACGGCUAACUACGUG
rnacentral:rRNA from 1 species